rnacentral:rRNA from 1 species
GAGGUGGUGCAUGGCCGUCGUCAGUUCGUACUGUGAAGCAUCCUGUUAAGUCAGGCAACGAGCGAGACCCACGUCCCACAGUUGCCAGCGUACUCUCUGGAGUGACGGGUACACUGUGGGACCGCCGCUGCUAAGCGGAGGAAGGAAUGGGCAACGGUAGGUCAGUAUGCCCCGAAUAUCCCGGGCUACACGCGAGCUACAAUGGUUGGUACAAUGGGUAUCUACCCCCGAAAAGGGGACGGGAAUCUCCUAAAACCAAUCUUAGUUCGGAUUGAGGGCUGCAACUCGCCCUCAUGAAGCUGGAAUCCGUAGUAAUCGCGUUUCAACAGAACGCGGUGAAUACGUCCCUGCUCCUU